GACGAACGCUGGCGGCGUGCCUAAUACAUGCAAGUCGAACGCAGUGGGGACGGGUGAGUAACACGUGGGUAACCUCCCAUCAGAGGGGAUAACACUUGGAAACAGGUGCUAAACCGAUACUGAUGGAUGGACCCGCGGUGCAUUAGCUAGUUGGUGAGGUAACGGCUCACCAAGGCCACGAUGCAUAGCCGACCGGAGAGGGUGAUCGGCCACACUGGGACUGAGACACGGCCCAGACUCCUACGGGAGGCAGCAGUAGGGAAUAUUCGGCAAUGGACGAAAGCCUGACCCAGCAACGCCGCGUGUGUGAAGAAGGUCUUCGGAUCGUAAAGCACUUUUGGUAGAGAAGCGGUAUCAAAAGAGAAAGCCCCGGCUAACUACGUGCCAGCAGCCGCGGUAAUAC
rnacentral:rRNA from 1 species